rnacentral:rRNA from 1 species
UGCGUAUGCUGCUUGAUAAGUCAGAGGUGAAAUCCUACAGCUUAACUGUAGAACUGCCUUUGAAACUGUUGAGCUAGAAUAGAGUUGAGGUUAGCGGAAUGUGACAUGUAGCGGUGAAAUGCAUAGAUAUGUCAUAGAACACCAAAUGCGAAGGCAGCUAACUGGGCUUUUAUUGACGCUGAGGCACGAAAGCGUGGGGAGCGAACAGGAUUAGAUACCCUGGUAGUCC